UUGGUGUGCCUGUUGGUGGAACUGAGCUUCCCCCGGUCACCCAGCGCUGUUUUGCCUAAUUACCGCUUGCUAAAUAAAAUCGAUUGAUUGACUCAGAAUCGAUUUAUUGGCUCUUAUUUAUAACAAAUUUUGGUGCCGUGACUCGGAUUAAGGAUCUCCGGGAGGGACUCCUAAACUUCAGGGAGGCGCCCCGUCCCGUUUUCAGACGGCCCUGGAGUGGACGGAGGAUCGCCCUGAAACCUUAACCUCCGAACCCGAAAUUUAGGUAAUUAGGCAAAAGAAUUGAACCCCGUAAACCUUUGUGCACGAAGAACCGGACGAAGACCCCGGGGAGGGGACCUUUCCUUGUUUUACUCACUACAGAUACCGCAGUCCGCACCGCGGAAAGAGGAUGGACACACGCUAGCCGAGUAAAAGGUCCUAUCCUACAUACAGACUGGGAAGUCACCGGUGAUCCAGAUGAGUUGAAGCUGACCUUCAAGAGGAAACAGACACGUGACGCAUAGCCCUGGACACUAGGCUUUUUAUGGACAAUUGUAGGGAAUUACAUAAGUCGCCCUUCGCAUGUCCUGUAUGUAAGCAAUGCAAUCUGUGAGUACGUCGUGUGUGUAACGGGUGCGGGAUACAGCAGUAAAAAAGUCCAGACAUUUGGGAAAUAACCAAGAGAAAGUGUUCCAAACCCUGUGAGGAUUCGGGACAGUGGCAAAACCCUUGUAUUUGAAGAUAGCCCUAUUGGGUUCAGUAUUGGAAAGUGGGUUGUGACAGAACAAGGAGAGAAUUUAGGAGGCAGUCCCCUGAAGACUACAACUGCUGCCGAGAAGAUAACUUACCCGGCUACUCUGAAGCAACAGAGUAGGCCCAGGGCAAGGCAGAGGGGUAUCCUUGUGGGGAUUGGCAAGUGCCUCCGAAGACUUCUAAAAUAAAGCAUCUCCUUAAGCAGAACAACCCUCAACAAAAUGAACCUCCACUGGCUGAUUUUCAGCCAACCAGGGGCCGGGUCGCUCUCCCUAAUCCUCCUUACCUUACCGGUAAUAAUAGCAAUAAACCAGGGGAGUUCCCACCAACCUUUUAAAUGGACUCUCUAUCGAUGGGAGGACCAAACGAUAAUACAACAACAGACCACAUCAGGGUCACCUUCUUUUACUGUAACCUUAUGCCAAUUAGUUCAAAUUGAGCCAUGCUUUAACAAAAUAGGGUUUUAUAUGUGCCCCAGCACAGGACCCUCGUAUUGUAAUACCCCAGGACAUUAUUACUGCACUUACUGGGGGUGUGAAACGAUUGCUUCAAACUGGCCAAUUCCUCGGGCAAAUACUGAUAAGUUCUUAAGGGUUGGAUGGGGACCUGCAGGGAGCACUCCUCCCUCGGGAGAAAGGAGUUCCCUACAAUUAGCUCCCCGCGGGUACACCCCACCCGAUGGCAACUGUGAAUAUAUAUUCCUUAACGUAACAGAUCCUGAACAUAGUGGAUGGUUUGUUGGAAAAACCUGGGGAAUGCGAUAUUAUCAACCGGGUGCUGAUCGAGGAGGCAUGUUUCUCAUAAAGAAAGAAGAAGUUAAACCGACCUCUCGAGCGAUAGGUCCCAAUCCAGUAGUAAAAUCGCCUCCCCCUCUGGGUAGGGAGACAAAGACAGUAGAGAGGGAGAAUAUAAUAGUAAUAAAGGAAACUGUCACUGAAGCCUUGAACUCUCUGAAUAUUGAAGCCCCGGAAUCUUUGAAUCCUUUAUGGGGAAUUAUCCUGGCUGCUUAUCAAACUCUAAACUAUACGCAACCCAACUUAACCAUGGGUUGCUGGUUGUGUUAUAAUGUUAAUCCACCCUUUUAUGAAGCUAUAGGGGAUAAUCGUCGGUAUACCAUAAGCAAGGAGUCUGUGCCUAUUCAAUGUCCUUGGGAAAAGCAGAAAAGAGGGAUAACUAUGCAACAUGUAACUGGGUUAGGGACUUGUAUAGGUAGAGUACCAAAUUCCAAGAGACCACUUUGUGGGAAUAUCGUACUGAGCCUUAAUGAAACCACAGGAUAUAUUAUUCCUCCGAAUGGAACAAAAUGGAUAUGUUCCAGGACGGGACUUACUCCAUGUGUGUCUUUAAAGGUGUUCAACAGUUCCCGAGAGUAUUGCAUGUUAGUUACCAUCAUCCCAAGGAUAUUGUAUCAUCAAGAAAAUGUAAUGUAUGAUAUUUGGGAUACAGGGCUCCAUCGUACCAAACGGGAACCCAUUACAGCCAUUACUCUAGCUACGUUGCUAGGGUUAGGGGUAGCCGGAGCAGGAACAGGGAUAGCUUCACUUGUUCAACAAAAUCAAGGAUUCAAUUCCUUGAAGACUGCGAUAGAUGAGGACCUAGAGAGAAUUGAAAACUCCAUAACCGCCUUAGAGAGGUCUCUAACCUCACUAUCUGAAGUGGUGUUGCAAAACAGGAGAGGGAUGGAUCUCCUUUUCUUACAGCAAGGUGGACUAUGCGCAGCCUUGAAGGAAGAAUGCUGUUUUUAUGCAGAUCACACAGGGGUAGUCCGAGACUCGAUGGCAAAAUUAAGGGAGAGACUGGAACAGAGAAAAAGGGAAAGAGAAGCUGCAAAAGGGUGGUACGAGUCUUGGUUUAUUCAGUCCCCGUGGCUAACUACAUUGCUAUCCACAGUAGCUGGACCCUUGAUGAUAUUAUUACUCACCCUAACCUUUGGACCCUGUAUCCUAAAUCGACUUAUUAGACUAGUUAAAAACCGUAUAGAGCGGGUACACCUUAUGUUGCUACAGAAACAUGGAACUGAUGAAGAAGCUGAAAUAACCUUACUAGCCCGAAAAGCGGUAACUCGAUUUGAUCAACAAAUAAAUGAGUAAAAAAAAAAAGAAA